rnacentral:lncRNA from 1 species
GCUCAAUUUAGUGGUGAAGUGAGUCUUAUCAUGGCUGUCUCUUGGUAACACUAUUUCCUGUUCUGUCGUUGAACACCAGUUAGGCUCUGACUUUCUUGGAGAUUUUCGGGUGCUGACACCAGGUCCCCAGAGCUGGGUGCCCUUGUAGGAGCUAAUGCUUUGGAGCCAGGGCAGGUCAGCUCUGUAAAGGACCAGAUGGUAAAGAUUUGAAUUUAAGGGGCUCAGGGCCCUUCACUCCCAGCUGUUCCCAGCUGUGGUAUAAAGCACUAUGUAUGGCACCUGGGCAGGCUCCUGCCUUGUUGUUUUUGUUUGUUUCUCUUCGUAGCCCUGGCUCUCCUCAGGUCACCUGCCUCAUUCUCCUGAGUACUGGGAUCAAAGGUGUGCACCACCAUGCCCAGCCAGGUUCUGUUUUGAUCCAGAGAAUCAAAUCCAUAACCGUAGAAUCUCUCACACCCCCUUCCCUUCCCCUCCCAUUCUUUGUGAGCCUUGAGAAGUCCUGUACAUGAUGGCCACUGUUCAUGCAUCUGAAGAAGGAAGCUGUUAGUUUGUGAGCCAGAGCUGCCUGGCUUAUCGGCAUGCUCACCCAUCCUCUGUGAGCCUGCAUUUUCUUUUCUUUCUCCUUUGCUGUGUAAUAACUAUAUUUCUAGGUUGUCUCUCAUUACCAGUGAUAGUGUAGUUUGAAAUUAGUACUCCUGUCUGACUGGAAAUUCUUUCUUGCUGUCUUCUCAGUGGAGAAGAUUUUUUCCCGACAUCCAACAGUCUUCUCCAUGGGACGCAUGUGCCUUCCUCAGAGGAAAUUGACAGAAUGGUUUUAGAUCUGGAAAAGCAAAUUGAAAAGAGAGACAAAUACAGCCGAAGACGUCCU